rnacentral:rRNA from 1 species
AUUGAACGCUGGCGGCAGGCUUAACACAUGCAAGUCGAGCGGGGAAGAGUAGCUUGCUACUUGACCUAGCGGCGGACGGGUGAGUAAUGCUUAGGAAUCUGCCUAUUAGUGGGGGACAACAUCUCGAAAGGGAUGCUAAUACCGCAUACGUCCUACGGGAGAAAGCAGGGGACCUUCGGGCCUUGCGCUAAUAGAUGAGCCUCAGUCGGAUUAGCUAGUUGGUGGGGUAAAGGCCUACCAAGGCGACGAUCGGUAGCGGGUCUGAGAGGAUGAUCCGCCACACUGGGACUGAGACACGGCCCAGACUCCUACGGGAGGCAGCAGUGGGGAAUAUUGGACAAUGGGGGGAACCCUGAUCCAGCCAUGCCGCGUGUGUGAAGAAGGCCUUUUGGUUGUAAAGCACUUUAAGCGAGGAGGAGGCUACCGAGAUUAAUACUCUUGGAUAGUGGACGUUACUCGCAGAAUAAGCACCGGCUAACUCUGUGCCAGCCGCCGCCGUAA